ensembl:snRNA U6 U6 spliceosomal RNA
GUGCUCACUUCGGUAGCACGUAUACUAAAAUUGGAAUGAUACAGAGAAGAUUAACAUGACCCCUGUGCAAGGAUGACAUGCAAAAUUCGUGAAGUGUUCCAUAUUUAA